GAGGCCAUGAUGGCCACCAACGUAAAGGUAAAGGGACCCCUGACCAUUAGGGCCAGUCGUGGCCGACUCUGGGGUUGCGGUGCUCAUCUCGCUUUACUGGCCGAGGGAGCUGGCGUACAGCUUCCGAGUCAUGUGGCCAGCAUGACAAAGCCGCUUCUGGAGAACCAGAGCAGCGCACGGAAACGCCGUUUACCUUCCCGCCAGAGCGGUACCUAUUUAACUACUUGCACUUUGACGUGCUUUAGAACUGCUAGGUUGACAGAAGCUGGGAGCUCACCCCGUCGCGGGGAUUCGAACCGCCGACCUUCGGAUCAACAAGUUGUAGGCUCUGUGGUUUAACCCACAACGCCACUCGUGUCCAACUUGGGAGGCUUUGAUUGAGACAGAUCAUGGAGGAGAGGGAUGUCAGCAGCUAUUAGCCAUGAUGACUAUGGGGAGAGUGCUUGAGACCAGCUUGCGGGUUUCCCAUAGGCAUCUUGGCGGCCACUGAGAGAACAGGAUGCUGGUCCGGCCUGAUCCGUCAGCCUGAUCCAGCAAGCUCUUAUGUCCUUAGUUUUGUUCCCUACCCUACUAAAUUGUACAGGGGCAACCGUGAGAAUCCAACACAAUAACCACACCAGUCCUUCUUAGCCAUCUGUGGUUUGCAGACUGGGAACGGUCAAACUAACCACGCAAACUCAUCAGGUUGUUUUUUUUAAGACCCUUUUUGCUUGCUUCAAGGAGCAUUCGAUUGGGGUUGUUUCAAAUUAGACCAAGAACUCUCUGUGAACCCAGUACUAUUCCUCCAGUUAGGAUAACUUGGUGUGUUUUUACCUCCCUAAUUUUAUUGGAAUCGGCAUAAAGAGGACACUCAAGUUGCUUCGUGCAAGAGACAUUCUGCCUAUUAAAACCAGGUUAUCAUAAAUCAGCAUGUGCUACUGAAGCUAAGUCGCCAAACACGUUGAAACUCAAAGAAUCCAUUCAGAGCUGUGUCCUUGCAGAGCCGUGGCAAUAUAUGCUUCCCAGGACCUUGUUUACUGGUGAAUUCCAUUUCCCCAGAUGUGUGCGAGUUUCGAGGAUAUGAAAUUCUGAACAGGGGGGAUGGAGAAUAAUAACUUGUUUGUCCAAUCUGCGGAGGGCUGCUCAGUGAGAUCAGGCUGAGACAUUUGGCCUGAUGAGUUGAAGGGGUCCAUUGCUGUCUGCGCAUCUCUAAGCAAAUAGCUUAGGACAUUAAUGGAAAAAUUUCACCGUAAAUUCUGCCCUCCAGCAUCUCCUUUGGCUCUCGGGAACUCAAAGGGAAAUGAAAAUUAGCACAUCCUGGUAAACAUCUCCUGAGCGGUCAUUUAGUUCUGGACAGGUAUCACAUCACAGUGUGCACAACCCACCAUGAGCACAAAUAAUAGCAAGGGACAAGUCUAGUCUUCUGUUUAUGCUAGAGAUUGGCUAGUUUUUGUCAGGAUUCUGGAAGAAUCCAGAAAGCAUGGUUUAUUUGGUGGCUUCACGGCCUGUUCCAGCAAUAUAGCUCAGUUGGUUAGAGCGUGGUGCUGAUGACACCGAGGUUGCAGAUUUGAUCCAUGUAUGGGGGCAACUGCAUGUUUCUGCUUUGCAGGGGGUUGGACUCGAUGAUCCUCAGGGCCCCUUCCAACUUUACAAUUAUAUUAUUGGCCCCAUAUUGCGAACUUUAUAUGCAUCUUGCUGCAGUGCUGCCUGCUGUCCCAAUAAGUUCACUGCUUUGUGUGCAUUCCCCGUUGAAGUGAAUGGGAAGGAAUGUUGUGGCACAUCGAAGCACACUAUGGGGGAUCUGGAUUGGGCGAAUGAACAUGCCUGAAAUCAUGAUGGUGAUUAUGAUGAGAAAAGAGAUCCUGUACAUAAUUAACAGCUACUCUUGGAGGAUAUAUGGAGGCCUAGAAGUUGGUUAUCCACCCUCCCUUAGGGAGCUCAACUCCUGCUGAGAUUGUCCAAGUGUCUAUCUUCAUCAACACAAUUAAAAAAUUCUCCUGCACUAACAAGGGCCUGUCCCCAAGAGGAAGCUAUUUAGCAGCCUGGUAAUUUUAGCGACGACCUUGUGUUGAUUACAAGUUGCUAUAUUAGUAAAUCCUUUCUGAAAGGCAGCUGUUGUUUUGGCAUUAACUCCUUGACUCCUAAUCAGCUGUUUGUUUACUAAAUCCCAAGGCAAUUAAAAAAAGGAUCCCUGUGUCAAGACUACGCUGGUCUGGUUGGUGAAUGCUUCCACAACAGAGGUAUAUUCAUGAGAAAUCUUAUAAGGGAGAAGGCGGUUAGACCCGAUCCAGAAAGUUGUAAGUGGCAAGGGAAUGGCAGUCAAUGUGCAAUUCCUUUGCUUAUAAGCAGAAAUUCUGUAGAUAGGUCUGUGUUGGGACCCAUAUGGGAAUUUGUAGGAUUCCCAUAUGCCCUCUUCAGUAGUGACGCAAGAAGAUUUAAAAUAUGUGCAGAAAAAUAAUAUAAUGGACCCUAUAAAUAGUAGUAUACCCAGUCCUGUUUAUCAAGAAAAAGGGGUGCCAAAGCUCACCAUGAAUGCCUCCCUUGUGCUCUUAAAAUGGCAACGGUGCACACCUGAGAGGUGCCUUAACUGAAUUUUGGCAGGUUCUGGCUGAAAAAUAAAAAGCCCUGAGUAUAUCUUCAACAUCUCUCCAAAGCUUUUUUGAUGGCCUUUUAAUGGUUGCCCCUCUUGAUUUCCUGUUGUAAAAUAUAUAAAGUGUGGUUACAAUUCACACACUGAAGUAAAGUUGCCAACCAAUCCGAAACAUAGACUUCCCAGUGACGGCAACUUCCUCUCGCUCUCAGCUUUGAGGAAAGUUGCCUCAAAUAAAGCAAGGGGCAAGGUCAUUUUUUCCUCUACGUAUUUCCCUGAACCCCUCCCCCCCCCCCGGCAAGCUGCACACAUUAGGUGAAUAGACAGCUAUGUGCUCAGAAUUGUCAGAAACCACUGGUUUCACCACUGGGUCUACAAAUAAAGAGAGAAGACUACAAAGGAUAGGCUUUGCCCUUGGGCCUUCCAAAUUACGUUCCUGCCAGGUGUUGCCCAAACCAUGAGACCUUCUUCUCCACAGCUAUCAUGGUUACAUAGAAUCAUAGAAUCAUAGAGUUGGAAGAGACCACAAGGGCCAUCGAGUCCAACCCCCUGCCAAGCAGGAAACACCAUCAGAGCACUCCUGACAUAUGGUUGUCAAGCCUCUGCUUAAAGACCUCCAAAGAAGGAGACUCCACCACACUCCUUGGCAGCAAAUUCCACUGUCCAACAGCUCUUACUGUCAGGAAGUUCUUCCUAAUGUUUAGGUGGAAUCUUCUUUCUUGUAGUUUGGAUCCAUUGCUCCGUGUCCGCUUGUCUGGAGCAGCAGAAAACAACCUUUCUCCCUCCUCUAUGUGACAUCCUUUUAUAUAUUUGAACAUGGCUAUCAUAUCACCCCUUAACCUCCUCUUCUCCAGGCUAAAGAUGCCCAGCUCCCUUAGCCGUUCCUCAUAAGGCAUCGUUUCCAGGCCUUUGACCAUUUUGGUUGCCCUCCUCUGGACACGUUCCAGUUUGUCAGUGUCCUUCUUGAACUGUGGUGCCCAGAACUGGACACAGUACUCCAGGUGAGGUCUGACCAGAGCAGAAUACAGUGGCACUAUUACUUCCCUUGAUCUAGAUGCUAUACUCCUAUUGAUGCAGCCCAGAAUUGCAUUCAUAGCUUUGGACCUGCUCCAUACUUCAUCCCUCGGAUACAAGUGGUUCUGCCCAGAGGCACUGGCCACUUCCAAGAAGAUUUGGGACCCAGAACGGCAAAACAGCAACCGUAAUCUUAGAGUGCUAAACAGCAGAGCAGGUGCAUAAAUCUGCCUCCUUUUCUGGUCCACCUGAGGCCAAGGUCUCAGUGUGCCUAACUAGCUGGUAGGCCCUGUGGAAACUGGACACUGAACCAGAGCUCAAAUGUCCUGAUGUGGCAAAGGCAUAAGGCCACAAUGGCUCCUCUCUCCUGACCCCUUCCUUAAUCACUGUGGAUUCCACGACACUAGCUGAAAUUCCCUCUUGUACAAAAUGAUUUAAGGUGCCCUUCUGUUCUGGUAGGCCACUCUAGCACGAACAACAUCCUCCUUGUCUUCUGCUCCACUGAAAUAUUUGCAACACAAUCCAAUGCAUGUUUACUUGGAAGUAGGUUGUGUAUAGGACUGAAAUGUUAAGAUCUAUCUAGUGUCUUGGUUGCAAGUGACAACCCUUUGGAAGGCUUUGGCAGUAUUGGGGGGGUGCUAUGUUGUUCUUUCUUACUUUCCUAUAUUGGACAAAAGCUGAGCCCAGAUUGCUUGGGAACUCCAGUUUGGCCACUCUAUUGCUGUCACUUUUUUAAAACCUCAGAGGCAUCUUUAGCCUCAUAAUCUGAGGCACACCACCAUUUUUGCUCUUUGACGGCCACCCAAAAAGCAAGGCAACAGGGUGGGAUUCAAACAGCAGAGUCUUCUAGGUGCAACGCUCAACAUAUUAUCUUCUGGACCACCCUGGCAACGAUGUUUAUGAUGCAAGUGUAUGAUUACAUUAAAUAUAUAACUCCAAAUGUAUACAUCUCUUGUGAGAAAUACAACUUUCCAUAGCCUGAUUUAUGUCUAUUUACAGUGGUUGCAUCUGCACUUUUGCACUUCUCUCCAGCGUUGCUGAUUGUGGGUUGUUGUUUUUUUUCAAACCCUGAGGAUUGUCGCUAAGUCAUUACUCAGCGCAGACCCACUGAAAUGUAAUGAGCAGGAGUAACUUAAGGCCAUUGAUUUCAUUGGGUCGAUUCUGAGUAUGACUUACCUAAUGACAUCCCUAAAAGACAUAUAGCUGAAGUUGGAGGCUAACUCAGGGGCCUUCCAGGCAUCCUACUAAUUGAGCAGAGGUUAGAUUAUAUUUUUGCAAGCCACCCCAAUCUCCGAGUGUUGCAAGAUUCCAGAGGUUACAGGCACUUACUCAGAGUUUUGGUUUCCUCAGAAUGAUGGACAAUGGAGACUGUGGUGUCUUUAUGAGAUAUGGUUUGUUUACACACAUAUAUAACCUGAGCCUAUGAUGGAGGGGCUCACAGCAUUAAGGUCUUGUUUCUCCAAUAGCCCCACAGCCUUGGAUUCAAACAGAAAUCAAGCAUGUCUCUCCUUCACAGGCUUCUGCGUGUCUCCUGCUGCUCCUAGGUCACACACACAACACAGCGCUGGCUUUUGUUCUUCUAAGUGAUAGCCAGUUGAGGGAAGGGGGCCCACCCAUUAGCCUUCUGGCAUGGAGCCACUUCCUUAAGGACCCAUGUUGUUGUUGUUUAGUCCUUUAGUCGUGUCCGGCUCUUCGUGACCCCAUGGAUCAGAGCACGCCAGGCACUCCUGUCUUCCGCUGCCUCCCGCAGUUUGGUCAAACUCAUGCUGGUAGCUUCGAGAACACUGUCCAACCAUCUCGUCCUCUGUCGUCCCCUUCUCCUUGUGCCCUUAAUCUUUCCCAACAUCAGGGUCUUUUCCAGGGAGUCUUCUCUUCUCAUGAGGUGGCCAAAGUAUUGGAGCCUCAGCUAAUAAUAAUAAUAAUAAUAAUAAUAAUAAUAAUAAUAAUUUAUUAUUUAUACCCCCCCAUCUGGCUGGGCUUCCCCAGCCACUCUGGGCGGCUUCAGGAUCUGUCCUUCCAGUGAGCACUCAGGGCUGAUUUCCUUAAGAAUGGAUAGGUUUGAUCUUCUUGCAGUCCAUGGGACUCUCAAGAGUCUCCUCCAGCACCAUAAUUCAAAAGCAUCUAUUCUUCGGCGAUCAGCCUUCUUUAUGGUCCUGCUCUCACUUCCAUACAUCACUACUGGGAAAACCAUAGCUUUAACUAUAUGGGACCUUUGUUGGCAAGGUGAUGUCUCUGCUUUUUAAGAUGCUGUCUAGGUUUGUCAUUGCUUUCCUCCCAAGAAGUAGGCGUCUUUUAAUUUCGUAAUUGCUGUCACCAUCUGCAGUGAUUAUGGAGCCCAAGAAAGUAAAAUCUCUCACUGCCUCCAUUUCUUCCCCUUCUAUUCUUCCCCUUCUAUUCUAAGGACCCAUACUUAGGCCAUUACUUAGGCCUGGCUAGUCCAACAAUUGAACCCUUCCUGGAUCCAGGAAUUAAGAGGUACCUGGGCCCAUGCAAACUCACAACACUAUCCAGUCUUUACUGAGCACUCAUCCUGAUUUGUUUGCAGGGUUAUAUGGCAAAGAAUGAGGAUUCGUCCUGUAUUCAUCCCUGAUUUUCUUGUGGGGUGUUAUGCGCCUUCCGGUUAGUCAUUCAAGACAAUCCCCAUCGCUUUCCAAACUGGAAAAAAGUCCAAUUCUUCUUUUUUAAAGUGGAUUUCCUGCACUAGGGAGACGGAGCCCUUUAAUUCAGUUUACCUGUGCAAACCCAACGUUCUUGCUUGAAUCCCACAAAAUAGUGAUAAACAGGAGGCGUCCUCUGAGUCAGUCUUGAAGGAUUACCUCACUUUACUCAGAUAAUGCACCACAAAAGGCCUCAGAAUGGGAGUCCCCUUACAUAGUAUGGACAUCUUCAGUAUAGUGUAAUGGAAAGCCUAACUCCAGAAGUGCCAGGUCCAGAAUACUUUGUCAGGUUUAAAGGGUGUUUCCAGAGAGUGUUCCCAGCUUCUCUACUAGCCCUACAGCACCCUGGCUAGUUCCAGAACCUGCCCACAUGACACACAUGUCAGAUGACUAAUAUAUGCAUGUGUCAUAUGAUGCCUAUGCAAGUCAUCAGUCAGCUCACAGGGUUGCAUCAUGACUGUGCAAAAGGCCUUGGACUAUUCCAGGGGAUCAGUUUACAGUGCAAGGAAUGUUUGGUUGUUGUUAGUCAUUUCUUCUUGCAGGAGAAUUCAGACUUUUCCUUCAGGUAGCGCUUCAAUCUGGACUUGGACCAGAGAGAAGUGGGUCCAGAUUUCCGGCAGACAUGGCAGGAGAAGACUUCCAGGAAUGCUGGAGAGCUGCUGUCAGUCUGUGUAGAAGACAGUAAAGCUGAAUUUAUAAAAUCUGCUCUUUCCAAAAUCAUAUGAGAACCGAAACACAGCUUAUUCUUCCAUCAAAAUUGCACAUGUCUGAAUUUUGCAAUGCAGUUCUCCAAACAAGGAAUGUUUACAAAGAUGUAUAUGUUAGGGGGAAAUGUGCAUUUAAAAAUCAGUGAAAAGAACAGACAAAAUGUAUUAUAUUAUGAGAAAUUGCUAGCAAAAAUGUAUACAUUAUUCAAACCUU